rnacentral:rRNA from 1 species
CGUAAAGCGAGUGUAGGUGGCUCAUUAAGUCACAUGUGAAAUCCCCGGGCUUAACCUGGGAACUGCAUGUGAUACUGGUGGUGCUAGAAUAUGUGAGAGGGAAGUAGAAUUCCAGGUGUAGCGGUGAAAUGCGUAGAGAUCUGGAGGAAUACCGAUGGCGAAGGCAGCUUCCUGGCAUAAUAUUGACACUGAGAUUCGAAAGCGUGGGUAGCAAACAGGAUUAGAUACCCUGGUAGUCCACGCCGUAAACGAUGUCUACUAGCCGUUGGGGUCCUUGAGACUUUAGUGGCGCAGUUAACGCGAUAAGUAGACCGCCUGGGGAGUACGGCCGCAAGGUUAAAACUCAAAUGAAUUGACGGGGGCCCGCACAAGCGGUGGAGCAUGUGGUUUAAUUCGAUGCAACGCGAAGAACCUUACCUGGUCUUGACAUAGUGAGAAUCCUGCAGAGAUGCGGGAGUGCCUUCGGGAAUUCACAUACAGGUGCUGCAUGGCUGUCGUCAGCUCGUGUCGUGAGAUGUUGGGUUAAGUCCCGCAACGAGCGCAACCCUUUUCCUUAUUUGCCAGCGGGUUAAGCCGGGAACUUUAAGGAUACUGCCAGUGACAAACUGGAGGAAGGCGGGGACGACGUCAAGUCAUCAUGGCCCUUACGACCAGGGCUACACACGUGCUACAAUGGUAGGUACAGAGGGUUGCUACACAGCGAUGUGAUGCUAAUCUCAAAAAGCCUAUCGUAGUCCGGAUUGGAGUCUGCAACUCGACUCCAUGAAGUCGGAA